rnacentral:rRNA from 1 species
UACGUAGGGGGCUAGCGUUGUCCGGAAUCAUUGGGCGUAAAGAGCGUGUAGGCGGCCCGGUAAGUCUGCUGUGAAAGUCGGGGGCUCAACCCUCGAAUGCCGGUGGAUACUGUCGGGCUAGAGUGCGGAAGAGGCGAGUGGAAUUCCUGGUGUAGCGGUGGAAUGCGUAGAGAUCGGGAAGAACAUCUGUGGCGAAGGCGGCCAGCUGGGCUGUUGCUGACGCUGAUGCGCGACAGCGUGGGGAGCAAACAGG